AGACACUUGCAGCUGACUUUAUUUCAAGGGAACAAGGUACACCCAAUCCAGUUAUAACAUCAGACACCGUUCAGGAGGCCUGGGGUAAGCAGUCCUUGGUCCCCAAGGGGUAGAGAGCAGAUCUCCAUUGGAGCCCACAGCAGCCCAGCUCAGUUACUAUAAGCCCGCAGGCAGCACCUCACAGAGCAAGAAUGGAUUUCCUGUCUGUUCCUCCAAUCCUCCAGGAGCCCCAUGGAGCUCAGCCGCCACCUCAAGGCUCCAGACAGGCAUCUAGCCAUAUCCGGGUCUGAGGGCCCCUCCAAGGGAUCCCUCCUUCCCCUUCCACCUUAACCCUUUCUUCCCCUGGCUGGGUUGGGUAGUGAAUCUACAACUUAAUCAAAGAAUGAGG